UGGGGAAUAUUGCACAAUGGGCGCAAGCCUGAUGCAGCCAUGCCGCGUGUAUGAAGAAGGCCUUCGGGUUGUAAAGUACUUUCAGCGAGGAGGAAGGCGUUGUGGUUAAUAACCGCAACGAUUGACGUUACUCGCAGAAGAAGCACCGGCUAACUCCGUGCCAGCAGCCGCGGUAAUACGGAGGGUGCAAGCGUUAAUCGGAAUUACUGGGCGUAAAGCGCACGCAGGCGGUCUGUCAAGUCGGAUGUGAAAUCCCCGGGCUCAACCUGGGAACUGCAUCCGAAACUGGCAGGCUAGAGUCUUGUAGAGGGGGGUAGAAUUCCAGGUGUAGCGGUGAAAUGCGUAGAGAUCUGGAGGAAUACCGGUGGCGAAGGCGGCCCCCUGGACAAAGACUGACGCUCAGGUGCGAAAACGUGGGGAGCAAACA
rnacentral:rRNA from 1 species